rnacentral:rRNA from 1 species
GACGAACGCUGGCGGCGUGCUUAACACAUGCAAGUCGAACGAACAGGCGGCGUCGGUCCCCGAUGCUCGUGGCGCGCGGGUGAGUGACACACGGGAGUAUGCCCUUUAUUACGGAAUGACAAAUGGAAACUUUGGCGGAUACCAUAUACGACCUUCUGGUGAAACAUUUAUCGCUAUAGGAUUAGCCGGCGUCUGAUUAUGUAGUGGGUGAGGUAAUGGCUCAUCAAGCCGUCGAUCAGUAGCUGGGAUGUGAGGCUGAUCAGGCACACUUGGGCUGAGACACGGCCGAGAAUCCUACGCAAGGGAGGAGUGGAGAAUAUAGGACGAUGGGGGCAGCCCUGAUCCAGCCAUGCCGGGGAAGUGAAGAUGGCGGUCGGGAUCUAAUGUUCUUUCGACGGGGACGAUGAUGACGGUACCCGAUUAAGAAGCCCCGGCUAACUACGUG